rnacentral:rRNA from 1 species
UAGGGAAUAUUGCGAAAUGGGCGAAAGCCCGAUGCAGCAACGCCGCGUGGGCGAUGAAGGCCUUCGGGUCGUAAAGCCCUUUUUGAGGGGAUGAGGAAGGACAGUACCCUCAGAAUAAGCCUCGGCUAACUACGUGCCAGCAGCCGCGGUAAAACGUAGGAGGCGAGCGUUAUCCGGAUUUACUGGGCGUAAAGCGCGUGCAGGCGGAGUGGAGAGUUGGACGUGAAAGCUCCCGGCUUAACUGGGAGAGGUCGUUCAAUACUUCCAGUCUUGAGUGCAGUAGAGGGGAGUGGAAUUCCUGGUGUAGUGGUGAAAUGCGUAGAUAUCCGGAGGAACACCAGUGGCGAAAGCGGCUUCCUGGACUGUAACUGACGCUCAGACGCGAAAGCUAGGGUAGCAAACG